rnacentral:rRNA from 1 species
ACCUCCCUCUGGCGGCAUGCCUAACACAUGCAAGUCGAACGAGACCUUCGGGUCUAUUGGCGCACGGGUGCGUAACGCGUGGGAACCUGCCCUUAGGUUCGGAAUAACUCCCCGAAAGGGGUGCUAAUACCGGAUAAUGUCUUCGGACCAAAGAUUUAUCGCCUUUGGAUGGGCCCGCGUUGGAUUAGCUAGUUGGUAGGGUAAAAGCCUACCAAGGCGACGAUCCAUAGCUGGUCUGAGAGGAUGAUCAGCCACACUGGGACUGAGACACGGCCCAGACUCCUACGGGAGGCAGCAGUGGGGAAUAUUGGACAAUGGGCGAAAGCCUGAUCCAGCAAUGCCGCGUGAGUGAUGAAGGCAUUAGGGUUGUAAAGCUCUUUUAACCGGGAUGAUAAUGACAGUACCGGGAGAAUAAGCUCCGGCUAACUCCGUG